CCCCCGGUGCCCCCUCGGGAUGAGCCUCUGGAGCAGGAACCUAGGUCGGGGGGCUCCUUGAAGAGGCUCGGGGGACUUCGUGUUAGAAAUAGUGUCCCAAAGCUAAUAGUCAUCCUGUUGACGGUUGUGCUCUUUGUUGUAUUAGUACAUAAAUUAUAAAUAAAUAAAAGUUAUUUUGGUAUUAUUCAUCAUAAAUUGUCAUCUUCUAAUGAACUCCUAUGUUGUG
rnacentral:lncRNA from 1 species